CGACUAUGCAGGCCAGGGAGAGACCAUAAACUUGAGUCUUAGUGCCGCCUUUGGGAAAACAAAAGAUAGGCUGUCAGCACUCGGCCUGGUGUGUUGCAGAUCCAGAGAAGGCAUACAAGCUUAAGAAUUCUGCCACAAGAGGGAGCAAGAAGCGUGGAGGUGGUGUACCCAUUAGAAGUUCUGAGAUAGCCACAGAAUCUCUAGCAGGGCUGAUGAGGAUCUCUCUCUCCCGAAGGCAAUUAGUAAAGACUUGGGGAGGUGACUGCCACUUCAAAUACAAAGACAGCAAUGUAAAACGUCAAGAAACAUGAAAAAUCAAGAUAACACGACAUCACCAAAUGAUCAAUAACUUCCAGUAACUGAACCCAGACAUGAUGAUCUACAAUUUACCCAAUAAAGAAUUCAAAAUGGUUUUAAGGAAAAUCAAUGAGCUGCAAGAAAACACAGAAAGACAAUUCAACAAAAUUAGGACAACAAUACAUGAACAAAAUUAGAAGUUUAAAAGAGAGAUAGAAAUCAUAAAAAAGAACCAAACAAAUUCUGGAGAUGAGAAUACAAUGAAUGACGACCAGCCCGGUGGCACAGUGGUUAAGUGCACACGUUCUGCUUUGGCAGCGCAGGGUUCACCGGUUGGGAUCCUGGGUGCAGACAUGGCACCGCUUGGCAAGCCAUGCUGUGGUAGGCGUCCCACAUAUAAAGUAGAGGAAGAUGGGCACAGAUGUUAGCUCAAGGCAGUCUUCCUCAGCAAAAAAAAAAAGAGGAAGAUUGGCAGCAGAUGUUAGCUCAGGACUAAUCUCCCCCCCUCAAAAAAAAUACAAUGAAAUGAAAUGGAAAAUGCGAUAGCAUCAAUAACAGAAUAGAUCAAUCAGAAGAAACAAUCUAUAAGAGGAACUUUGAAAUUAUCCAGAGGAGGACAAAGAAAAAAGAAUGAAAAAGAGUGAGCAAAGCCUACAUGUUUUAUGGAAUACCAUCAAAAGAACAAAUUUGUGAAUUAUUGCAAUUCCUGAAGAAGAGAGCGAGAAGGGGAGAGAAAGCUUAUUUAAAGAAAUAAGCUGAGAACUUCCCAAAUCUGGGGAGAGAUUUGGAUAUCCAAGUUCAUAAGGUUCAUAGAUCACCAAACAAAAUUAACUAAAAAAGAUCCUCUCCAAGACAUGUUAUAAUAAAACUGUCAAAAAUCAAAGACAAACAGAGAAACUAAAAAGUGGCAAGAGAAAAACACCUUGUAACUUACAGGGGAACGACUAUAAAGCUGUCAAUGGAUUUCUCAGCAGAAACCUUACAGGCAAGGAGAGAGUGGGAUGAUAUACCAUCCAAAGGAAAAAGCCUGCCAAACAAGAAUACUUUACAUGGCAAAUCUGUCCUUCAGAAAUGAAGGAGACAUAAUGAACUUUCCCAAACAAAACCUGAGGGAAUUCAUCACCAUGAGACCUCCCUUAUGAGAAAUGCUGAAAGGAGUUCUUCAAGUUGAAAUGAAAGGAGUUAAUUAGUAACAUGAAAAUAUACAACACACUGGUAAAGCUGGCUCGACAAGGGAAUUGGCUGAAGUCAAGGAGAAAAUGGGAGGCUGCCAAUGUCUCCCUUGCUGACGCUGAAGGUAUCAAGAGACUGUUGGAUCACUGUACAAAUCCUUCCAGGUAGAUGGGAACAGAGCCACUCCACUUGCUGAGAAUUGUUGCCAUUGAAGAUCAUCCUUCUGAAGGUGUGGCUAUUUCCUGUAUUACUUCUUCAGAGACUGAGGACCCAAGAAAAUGAGAGUACCUGGAGAAGACAAGGAGGGCUUGUGAAUACCAGGCUUGACUAAUUGAUUCUGAGACAAGGUCAGACAAAACAGGAUGCUUUUGUAUUUUUGUUCUGUGGGUUAGGGUGUGCCUCUGUAUUUCCC
ensembl:lncRNA